rnacentral:rRNA from 1 species
UUUGGUGCCUUCGGGAACUGUGAGACAGGUGCUGCAUGGCUGUCGUCAGCUUGUGUUGUGAAAUGUUGGGUUAAGUCCCGCAACGAGCGCAACCCUUAUCCUUUGUUGCCAGCGGUCCGCCCGGGCACUCAAAGGAGACUGCCAGUGAUAAACUGGAGGAAGGUGGGGAUGACGUCAAGUCAUCAUGGCCCUUACGGCCAGGGCUACACACGUGAUACAAUGGCGCAUACAAAGGGAAGCCACCUCGCGAGAGCAAGCGGACCUCAUAAA